UACAGAGGUGGCGAGCGUUAUUCGGAAUUAUUGGGCGUAAAGGGCGCGUAGGCGGCUUGACAAGUCCCGGGUGAAAUCCCUCGGCUCAACUGAGGAACUGCACGGGAAACUGCCUGGCUUGAGUUCGGGAGAGGGAAGCGGAAUUCCGGGUGUAGCGGUGAAAUGCGUAGAUAUCCGGAGGAACACCGGUGGCGAAGGCGGCGGCCUGGGUUGACACUGACGCUGAGGCGCGAAAGCGUGGGGAGCAAACAGG
rnacentral:rRNA from 1 species